AUGAACGCUAGCGGCAGGCUUAAUACAUGCAAGUCGAGGGGCAUCAAGGUACACGAAAGUGUAUUGUUGGCGACCGGCGGACGGGUGAGUAAUAGGUAGGUAACCUACCUCAUACUGAGGCAUAGCUGGGAGAAAUUCCAGGUAAUUCCUCAUGAGGUUAUAUGACACAUGUGAUAUAAUCAAAGGUAUCGCAAGGUACUGGUAUGAGAUGGGCUUACUGACCAUUAGCUAGUUGGUGAGAUAAGAGCUCACCAAGGCGAAGAUGGUUAGGGGUUUUGAGAGAGAGAUCCCCCACAUUGGAACUGAGAUACGGUCCAGACUCCUACGGGAGGCAGCAGUAGGGAAUAUUGGGCAAUGGGCGAAAGCCUGACCCAGCCAUGCCGCGUGAAGGAAGACGGCCUUAUGGGUUGUAAACUUCUUUACUACGCGAAUAGAGGUUAGUACGAGAUACUAAUAGGAAGGUAGUGUAGUAAAAAGCACCGGCUAACUCCGUG
rnacentral:rRNA from 1 species